UGUCGGCGACCGGCGCACGGGUGCGUAACGCGUAUGCAACCUACCCAUUACAGGGGGUAACACUGAGAAAUCGGUACUAAUACCCCAUAACAUCCAGGGAGGCAUCUUCUUGGGUUGAAAACUCCGGUGGUAAUGGAUGGGCAUGCGUUGUAUUAGUUAGUUGGUGGGGUAACGGCUCACCAAGACAACGAUACAUAGGGGGACUGAGAGGUUAACCCCCCACAUUGGUACUGAGACACGGCCCAAACUCCUACGGAAGGCAGCAG
rnacentral:rRNA from 1 species